rnacentral:lncRNA from 1 species
GAAAUGCAGUGUUAAGGGAUAAAGUCAUAUCAUCAUUAAAAAGGAAAAAAGUGCAGCAUAAACCCAAAGCUAAAAUCUUGCAUAAUUUUGUCAGACGCUCAAUAUUUACGAAGUCUGUCCUCGAGACAUUGUUAAAGGGCUAAACCUAACUUUUUUUUUUUAAGUGCUUGAUUGUUCCAGUCUGGCUGAUACCAAACUCAAAGUCCUCCUGACUUCAAAGUCUGGAAAGGCUGUUUUGUUGUUGUCGGCACGAUGCGUUGAUGAUGAACGGGGGGAUAACUCGUCAACAGCAAAACAGUUCCUCCGCCGAGAAGAUGAGAGAAUUAUCAAUCGUCAAAUUUUAGUUUCAACUGUUCUGCUUGGGGCUAUGGAACCCUGACCUGUUCAUCAGACCUGCUACCUUGUCCCGGACCUGCUGUUUUGGACUCUCUCUACCGCACCUGCUGUCUCUAACUCUGAAUGCUCGGCUAUGAAAAACCAACUGACAUUUACUCCUGAGGUGCUGACCUGUUGCACCCUCUACACCCACUGUGAUUAUUAUUAUCUGACCCUGCUGGUCAUCUAUGAACAUUUGAACAUCUUGGCCAUGUUCUGUUAUAAUCUCAACCCGGCACAGCUAGAAGAGGACUGGUUCCUCUCUAUGGUUUCUUCCUAGGUUCCAACCUUUCUAGGGAGUUUUUUCUAGCCACCGUGCUUCUACAUCUGCAUUGCUUGCUGUUCGGGGUUUUAGGCUGGAUUUCUGUACAGCACUUUGUGACAUCGGCUGAUGUAAAAAAGGGCUUUAUAAUUAAAUUUGAUUGAUUGAUAGUGAGAUACCCAAUGGGUAUCUUUGACACUUAAAUUGAAUAAGAUAUUACUUAAAUACUGGAAGUCAAAUAAUACUCCAACGUUAAGAGAAUGGAAAAAUCAAAUGCUUGAAUUUAAUAUUGAAAAAGACAGACAGACAGAAUGCAUGUACAUUUUGAGUUGUGUAUUGUUUUUGUCCAUCUAGGUUUGUAUAAAAGAAAGUUAACUAAAAAUACAGUUUUUUUUAAUUAAUACAAAAUUAACUCUGUCGUAGGGACUGAAUGUUGGAGGAGCUUUAAGGGCAGUAAGUAGCAGGAGGCAGCAGGAUCAGGGGCAAAAUGCUGUCCAGUUUAAUAACAAUGAAAGGUGGUUUCCGGUGAAUGACGAAAUGCAAUGAAUAUUUACAUAAUCUACAAAAGGUAAUUACAGAA